GACAGAGGGUGCAAACGUUGUUCUGAAUUACUGGGCGUAAAGCGUGUGUAGGCGGCUACGUAAGUCGGAUGUGAAAGCCCCAGGCUCAACCUGGGAAGUGCACUCGAUACUGCGUAGCUUGAGUAUCGGAGAGGUUGGUGGAAUUCUCGGUGUAGAGGUGAAAUUCGUAGAUAUCGAAAGGAACACCGGUGGCGAAGGCGGCCAACUGGACGAAUACUGACGCUGAGACACGAAAGCGUGGGGAGCAAACAGG
rnacentral:rRNA from 1 species